rnacentral:pre_miRNA from 1 species
AUACUACUCUCUCCGUUCGGAAUUACUUGUCGCAGAAAUGGAUGUAUCUAGACGUAUUUUAGUUCUAGAUACAUCCAUUUUCGAGACAAGUAAUUCCGAACGGAGGGGGUACGUA